UGAAUCAAAUGCAUUCCUUGUGAAAUCAAACAGCUUCUGCAAUGCCAUAAUGUAGCUAAAUAUUUGAUUACACUAGUGAAACACGAGCAUAAGAUACUACCCAAAAGGGAUACAUCCCAAAAAAAAGAAAUUUAAAGGUUUAGCACAUGCCAGACAUAAAUCUAAACUAUAUAAUCAAGUUAUUAAUAGUUUUUUUCAACUUCUAUCUAUUUCUAGAGCAAGGUCCUUCUGACACGGACUCUGACUACUCCAGAGAAAUUUCCAAGGAUUUUGUUAAUUAAUAAAGCCUGAGACAGACUUCAACUAUGAAAGAGGCAUAUGAAACCACAAAUGGAUGAGAUGAAGCCUUCUGAGUUGAAACGGCUAGAUGAAAUUACAGAGAAGAUUAACAAUGGGGCACCCAUUUUCUCCUCUGCCAAUUAAAUAUCAUUUACACAAUAAAAGAAAAAAGAUGGCGGAGCUGCUGAAGGAAUCACCCACACAAUUACACUCCAAAAUAGUAUUCAACUGUAGUGUCAUGAUAUUUAUCCAAUUUUUGACAUUGAUAUUUGUUCCAAAAUUGAAACAGAGAUGAAAAGCCACAAGAAACAUUUUAUGGCCAACAUCACCCAAAACUUUUGAUAAUGGAAAUGCAUGACACAGGCUUUUCCCUGAGCUAGCAAUCAAAAUAGGAUAAAUGAGACUUACGUGACAUCUCCAAAAUCACAAAAU
rnacentral:misc_RNA from 1 species